GCUAAUCAUGCUAAAAACAUGCUAGCGACAUGCUAGUCAUUUGCUAAUCAUGCUAGAAACAUGCUAGCGACAUGCUAGUCACUCGCUAAUCAUGCUAAAAACAUGCUAGUGAAAUGCUACAUGAUUAGCAAGUUACUAGCAUGUCACUAGCAUGUUUCUAGCAUGAUUAGCAUGUGACUAGCAUGUCACUAGCAUGUCGCUAGCAUGUUUUUAGCAUGAUUAGCAAGUGACUAGCAUGUCGCUACCAUGUUUUUAGCAUGAUUAGCCGGU
ensembl:lncRNA